AACUGAUACUACCUGCGGGAACCUGCGGAGGGAUCAUUAACGAGUUAAUUGAACGGGUUGUAGCUGGUCCUCGCAAGAGGGCAUGUGCACACCUGGCUCAUCCACUCUUCAACCUCUGUGCACUUGUUGUAGGUCGGCAGAAGAGUAAGCUUUCGGGCUUGCUUGGAAGCCUUCCUAUGUUUUAUUACAAACGCUUCAGUUUAAGAAUGUAAUCUCUGCGUAUAACGCAAUUAUAUACAA
rnacentral:misc_RNA from 1 species